UUCAAUAUCUCCUUUCGUCGGCUUUGCACGCAGCAGCAGGAAGAUAAUGAUAUAUGCCACGCUACAGCCGAUGUCAAAAACACUCAUAAACAGAGCCCUUCCGGAUCUCGAUAUCCAUGAGCUCGAAUGGAAUUAGGACAAGCUUUCACUCGCAGCUACAUUGACUCGUGAUACGCAUCGCUUCCUUCAACACGUCAAUGUGCCACGAACAAGUCAGCCAGUAGACACACACGGCCACCGUUCACCUACCUCUGCUGCACCACGGAGAUGCCCAGGAGCGGGCCCACCCAACACCGCCGCAACGCAGCAAAAGCAGAAACACAGCAGGUGGGAUGCGCCUACUCGUUUGAUCGCCGACACGAUUCGUGGUGAGCUGGUGCAAACGCGCUCAUGACUGCAGGCCUCCUCCGCGCAGCGCCAGCCCAGGCCUGUCCGCCGACAUCGAGAGUCCGCAGCCGCACCACCACCCCCCUUCCAGGGCGGGCUGCAGGCCCUUGGCGUCCCCGCACGCUGGGCACUAGGCCCUAGCGCUACCGUGAGGCGGCGGGCACUAUCACGCCACCCACAUGCCUUUAGACGACGGAAAAAACAGCAGCCGGGCGUACGUCUGCAUUCAUGUCUACGCGUCCCCCGUAUUUUGUCUGUGUUUGCGAGGCACGGAGGGAAGGGGCUUCCCGAGGCUCUCGCGCGCUCUGCAUUCCCUAUCCUCCUGCCCUUUUGUUGCGGGUUGCUCUUCUCCACGCGAUAUUCGUCCUCGCUGCUGUUUGGCGUUGGAUACUCAGGUUUCCUCGCUCUUUCUUCUGCUGCUCGCGCUUAGCUGGAGCUGUGCCUGUGCCCGUGUAGUAGCUUGGCUUUGGUGUGCGCGCUGGGCUUCAUGCAGAGAGGGACACACGCACGGGAGCAGGCGCUUGCGGCUCUGUUGUUGGCACGAUUGUGACCAUAUCUGCAGAGAGACGGCAUGUGGGGCCUGUCUAUUUCUCCCCUUGCGCAUGCCUGUGUGUAGGGGUGGUGCUGUGGUAGUGGUGAGCCGUGUGCCGUACUCAUGCCUCCUCCUGUUGUCUCGACGCGGCGAAAGCGAUGCUCUGCCUCUCCACUACCUGCUCUCACUCAUUGCUCGGAUUGGCCCGUCUCUGCUGCCACUGCCGAUGGCGAUGUCCCCGCCCCCUCUUGCUUUUCAUGGACCCCUACUCUUUCACGUGGCGGUUGCUGUUGCCGCGUAUUCCUCCUGGGAUGGUGGGGGAGAUCACAGGCACCGCGCUGCAGGCUUGUUGUGUAAGCGCAGGGAAAAAAAGGACGGGUGGCGAUGGGCUGCCGUAAUGAUGUGAAGAGCUGGUGCCCAGUAUGUGUCGAGCUUAGCGGCGCAGACUGUCGUGAUUCCGUACUCUCGCCCGAGCGGCAGGUGCUUUAUCGCCACGCUCUGAUCCGAAACAAUGAAAGAGGUGUAUGUGAUACUUCUCUUGCAGCCAUCAUAUUUGAUUGCAUGCGUUCGGCCACCUGUAGGGGGUGGAUGACGCUGCUGUGCACCACCUUGACCAGAUCCCUCGUCGUCGUCACCCCCCCCCAUGUAUAGGUGCCAAGCCGCUAGUUUUGUCUUUAUACAUGUAUGCGCGCCGAUUGGGAGGAGUGUCUUCCUUGAUCGGGCUCUCUGCCUUUCUUUGUUUGAGCGUCUGCUGUCUGUGCCCAUCGAGUGCCCGGUAGGCAUGUGGGCUGCUGGCCGACGAGGCUGGGCCACAGUGAAUGCGGACGUGACUGUCGUACGGCGAUGAGGAGAGUGGGGACGGGCGCGGUGGCCACGGCGUCGGAGGAAGCCAGCUGUGCUAUAAGGGGAGAUGCAAAGGCCUCUUUCCCCCGGGAGAUUGUGAGUGCUGCGUUUUCGCUUUCUCUUCACACGCAUCUCCCUUCCUCCGUCCCCUGCCCCGAGCACACCCCUACGCUUCUUUUCGCUGUUUUCGUAUUAUCUGUCGUGUGUUCCAUCCCAUCGAGCAUUGUGCAGGUGCGCGCGCGCUGUCGCUGUUC
rnacentral:misc_RNA from 1 species